GUCUAUAUAGCUCAGUUGGUUAGAGCAUGGUGCUGAUAAUGCCAAGGUUGCAGGUUUGAUACCCGUGUGGGACA
rnacentral:tRNA from 1 species